AUUGAACGCUGGCGGCAGGCCUAACACAUGCAAGUCGAGCGGACGAAGGGAGCUUGCUCCUGGAUUCAGCGGCGGACGGGCGAGUAAUGCCUAGGAAUCUGCCUGGCAGUGGGGGAUAACGUCCGGAAACGGGCGCUAAUACCGCAUACGUCCUGAGGGUGAACGUGGGGGAUCUUCGGACCUCACGCUAUCAGAUGAGCCUAGGUCGGAUUAGCUAGUUGGUGGGGUAAAGGCCUACCAAGGCGACGAUCCGUAACUGGUCUGAGAGGAUGAUCAGUCACACUGGAACUGAGACACGGUCCAGACUCCUACGGGAGGCAGCAGUGGGGAAUAUUGGACAAUGGGCGAAAGCCUGAUCCAGCCAUGCCGCGUGUGUGAAGAAGGUCUUCGGAUUGUAAAGCACUGUAAGUAGGGAGGAAGAGCAGUAAGUUAAUACCUUGCUGUUUUGACGUUACCAACAGAAUAAGCACCGGCUAACUUCGUG
rnacentral:rRNA from 1 species